GAUGAACGCUGGCGGCGUGCCUAAUACAUGCAAGUCGAGCGAACAGACGAGGAGCUUGCUCCUCUGACGUUAGCGGCGGACGGGUGAGGAACACGAGGAUAACCUACCUAUAAGACUGGGAUAACUUCGGGAAACCGGAGCUAAUACCGGAUAAUAUAUUGAACCGCAUGGUUCAAUAGUGAAAGACGGUUUUGCUGUCACUUAUAGAUGGAUCCGCGCCGCAUUAGCUAGUUGGUAAGGUAACGGCUUACCAAGGCAACGAUGCGUAGCCGACCUGAGAGGGUGAUCGGCCACACUGGAACUGAGACACGGUCCAGACUCCUACGGGAGGCAGCAGUAGGGAAUCUUCCGCAAUGGGCGAAAGCCUGACGGAGCAACGCCGCGUGAGUGAUGAAGGUCUUCGGAUCGUAAAACUCUGUUAUUAGGGAAGAACAAAUGUGUAAGUAACUAUGCACGUCUUGACGGUACCUACUCAGAAAGCCACGGCUAACUACGUG
rnacentral:rRNA from 1 species